GUAGAGUUAGUAUACUAGCUGAAGGUUAGGGUUAGAGCAGUAGUCACGGUAGAGUUAGUAUACUAGCUGAAGGUAAGGGUAGAGUUAGUAUACUAGCUGAAGGUUAGGGUAGAGUUUGUAUACUAGCUGAAGGUAAGGGUAGAGUUAGUAUACUAGCUGAAGGUUAGGGUAGAGUUUGUAUACUAGCUGAAGGUUAGGGUAGAGUUAGUAUACUAGCUGAAGGUUAGGGUUAGAGCAGUAGUCAGGGUAGAGUUAGUAUACUAGCUGAAGGUCAGGGUAGAGUUAGUAUACUAGCUGAAGGUUAGGGUCAGAGCAGUAGUCAGGGUAGAGUUAGUAUACUAGCUGAAGGUAAGGGUAGAGUUAGUAUACUAGCUGAAGGUUAGGGUUAGAGCAGUAGUCAGGGUAGAGUUAGUAUACUAGCUGAAGGCAACAGUUAGAGCAGUAGUCAGGGUAGAGUUAGUAUACUAGCUGAAGGUUAGGGUAGAGUUAGUAUACUAGCUGAAGGUUAGGGUAGAGUUAGUA